CCGGCGCACGGGUGAGUAACGCGUAUGCAACUUGCCUAUCAGGAGGGGAUAACCCGGCGAAAGUCGGACUAAUACCGCAUGAAGCAGGGGCCCCGCAUGGGGAUAUUUGCUAAAGAUUCAUCGCUGAUAGAUAGGCAUGCGUUCCAUUAGGCAGUUGGCGGGGUAACGGCCCACCAAACCGACGAUGGAUAGGGGUUCUGAGAGGAAGGUCCCCCACAUUGGAACUGAGACACGGUCCAA
rnacentral:rRNA from 1 species